rnacentral:rRNA from 1 species
GAUGAACGCUGGCGGCGUGCUUAACACAUGCAAGUCGAACGGAAAGGCUCCUGCUUGCAGGGGUACUCGAGUGGCGAACGGGUGAGUAACACGUGGGUGAUCUGCCCAGCACUUCGGGAUAAGCCUGGGAAACUGGGUCUAAUACCGGAUAGGACGAUGGUUUGGAUGCCAUUGUGGAAAGUUUUUUCGGUGUGGGAUGAGCUCGCGGCCUAUCAGCUUGUUGGUGGGGUAAUGGCCUACCAAGGCGUCGACGGGUAGCCGGCCUGAGAGGGUGUACGGCCACAUUGGGACUGAGAUACGGCCCAGACUCCUACGGGAGGCAGCAGUGGGGAAUAUUGCACAAUGGGCGCAAGCCUGAUGCAGCGACGCCGCGUGGGGGAUGACGGCCUUCGAGUUGUAAACUCCUUUCGCUAGGGACGAAGCGCAAGUGACGGUACCUGGAGAAGAAGCACCGGCUAACUACGUG